rnacentral:rRNA from 1 species
UGCCAGCCGCCGCGGUAAUACAGAGGGUGCAAGCGUUAAUCGGAAUUACUGGGCGUAAAGGGUGCGUAGGUGGCUAUGCAAGUUAGGUGUGAAAUCCCUGGGCUCAACCUGGGAAUUGCGCUUAAAACUGUGUGGCUAGAGUACUGUAGAGGAAAGUAGAAUUUCCGGUGUAGCGGUGAAAUGCGUAGAUAUCGGAAGGAAUACCAGUGGCGAAGGCGGCUUUCUGGACAGAUACUGACACUGAGGCACGAAAGCGUGGGGAGCGAACAGGAUUAGAUA